CUAUCUGGGACCUGGGGCAUGUGACAUGGUGUGGCUCCGAUAAUGGAAGCAGGCUGGCACUGUGGAGCUAGGAACAAGGAAAGCACCCAAUCAAUCAAUCAGUCAAUCAAUGAAUCAAUCAAAAAAGACAAAGGAGGAAACCAAACACCAGCCUGCAAACUUGUCCACUAUUGGAACUUACCCAAUGCUGAUUGUGGAGGGAAGCCAAGAGGGUCACACCCUAGAGGCCCAGCAGAAGAAAACCUCAGAGACAUUGUUUCUGGGACCCGGGGCUGCUCAGCAAUUGGGGCAGGAGUUUCUGGAACUCCCUCUGGUCCUCCUCCCAGUGGAGGGCAGGGGGUCGUGGGCGCCGGGGCUGAAACGGUGGGUCGGACGGGAGUGCGGUCCGGAGAGCCAGAAAGAUCUGUUCAUUGUCCUUCCCCCGUCCAGUGCCCC